rnacentral:rRNA from 1 species
UACGAAGGGGGCUAGCGUUGCUCGGAAUUACUGGGCGUAAAGGGAGCGUAGGCGGACAUUUAAGUCAGGGGUGAAAUCCCGGGGCUCAACCUCGGAAUUGCCUUUGAUACUGGGUGUCUUGAGUAUGGGAGAGGUAUGUGGAACUCCGAGUGUAGAGGUGAAAUUCGUAGAUAUUCGGAAGAACACCAGUGGCGAAGGCGACAUACUGGCUCAUUACUGACGCUGAGGCUCGAAAGCGUGGGGAGCAAACAGG